GAUGAACGCUGGCGGCGUGCCUAAUACAUGCAAGUCGAGCGAACAGACGAGGAGCUUGCUCCUCUGACGUUAUCGGCGGACGGGUGAGUAACACGUGGAUAACCUACCUAUACGACUGGGAUAACUUCGGGAAACCGGAGCUACUACCGGAUAAUAUAUUGAACCGCAUGGUUCAAUAGUGAAAGACGGUUUUGCUGUCACUUAUAGAUGGAUCCGCGCCGCAUUAGCUAGUUGGUGGGGUAACGGCUUACCAAGGCAACGAUGCGUAGCCGACCUGAGAGGGUGAUCGGCCACACUGGAACUGAGACACGGUCCAGACUCCUACGGGAGGCAGCAGUGGGGAAUCUUCCGCAAUGGGCGAAAGCGUGACGGAGCAACGCCGCGUGAGUGAUGAAGGUCUUCGGAUCGUAAAACUCUGUUAUUAGGGAAGAACAAAUGUGUAAGUAACUAUGCACGUCUUGACGGUACCUAAUCAGAAAGCCACGGCUAACUACGUG
rnacentral:rRNA from 1 species